rnacentral:rRNA from 1 species
CACGCCGUAAACGAUGAAUGCUAGGUGUCAGGGGCGUAAGAGCCCUUGGUGCCGAAGUUAACACAUUAAGCAUUCCGCCUGGGGAGUACGGUCGCAAGACUGAAACUCAAAGGAAUUGACGGGGACCCGCACAAGCAGUGGAGCAUGUGGUUUAAUUCGAAGCAACGCGAAGAACCUUACCAGGUCUUGACAUCCCUCUGACCGGUCUAGAGAUAGGCCUUUCCUUCGGGACAGAGGAGACAGGUGG